rnacentral:antisense_RNA from 1 species
ACCAACACGACAUUGCUCACAUUGCUUCCAGUAUUUCUUAUAGCCAGCUUGGGUGCUGGCUUUUUUUU